rnacentral:rRNA from 1 species
UACGUAGGGUGCGAGCGUUAAUCGGAAUUACUGGGCGUAAAGCGCACGUAGGCGGCUUUCUAAGUCGGGGGUGAAAUCCUGGAGCUCAACUCCAGAACUGCCUUCGAUACUGGAGAGCUCGAGUCCGGGAGAGGUGAGUGGAACUGCGAGUGUAGAGGUGAAAUUCGUAGAUAUUCGGAGGAACACCAGUGGCGAAGGCGGCUCACUGGUCCAUUACUGACGCUGAGGUGCGAAAGCGUGGGGAGCAAACAGG